rnacentral:rRNA from 1 species
ACUCCUACGGGAGGCAGCAGUGGGGAAUAUUGCACAAUGGGGGAAACCCUGAUGCAGCAACGCCGCGUGAGUGAUGACGGCCUUCGGGUUGUAAAGCUCUGUCUUCAGGGACGAUAAUGACGGUACCU